UUUUCCCUGUGCCUCAUGGCUUCGAUUUGUUCAUUCGAUAGAGCCAUCCGAUUCCGGGCCCAGAACACUUUGCCAAACAAAAAGUUAUCGCUCUUCAUCCUUGAUAGGCUACAGAAAGGGAAGCUGAACCUUGUUCUUCUGCCAUCAUCUAGCAUGCGGCUUACCUUUGUUUGUGAUGAUGGUUAUCCAGAGCAACUAGCUCUCUUGAGCAACGACUUUGAAUUUUCGGAAGUUAUGAUUGAAGAAAUAUCAGCUGAUAAUUCUAGACGCUCUUUCCUAAUCAGAAUUUCAGAAUCUAAAGUGUUUUACUACUGGUGUGCUGAGAAGUCGAAGGAAGAUUGAAUGGAACUUCUUGCAAAGGUUUGUAUGCAUAAAUAUACAAACUUUAUCUAUGUGGUAGUAAAAACAAAUGGUAUUCUUGUUUAUGCACUUUCGGAUGGCCUUCAAACAUGUUUUUAAUAGGAAUUUGUAUGACUUAUUUGUCAAUGAACUGAAAUAUUUGUUAUGAUUGUAGGUCACUUUACAUGUACCACACACUUU